rnacentral:ncRNA from 2 species
AGCAGCCGCGGUAAUUCCAGCUCCAAUAGCGUAUAUUAAAGUUGUUGCAGUUAAAAAGCUCGUAGUUGAAUUUCGGGGUUAGUAGGUUGGUCAUGCCUCUGGUAUGUACUGGUCUCACUGAUUCCUCCUUCCUGAUGAGCCGUAAUGCCAUUAAUUUGGUGUUGCGGGGAAUUUGGACUGUUACUUUGAAAAAAUUAGAGUGUUUAAAGCAAGCUAACGCUUGAAUACAUUAGCAUGGAAUAAUGAAAUAGGACGUUCGAUCCUAUUUUGUUGGUUUCUAGGAUUGACGUAAUGAUUAAUAGGGAUAGUUGGGGGCAUUAGUAUUCAAUUGUCAGAGGUGAAAUUCUUGGAUUUAUUGAAGACUAACUACUGCGAAAGCAUUUGCCAAGGAUGUUUUCAUUAAUCAAGAACGAAAGUUAGGGGAUCGAAGACGAUCAGAUACCGUCGUAGUCUUAACCAUAAACUAUGCCGACUAGGGAUCGGAUGAUGUUAAUUUUUUUAAUGACUCAUUCGGCGCCUU